rnacentral:rRNA from 1 species
UCUGACGGAGCAACGCCGCGUGAACGAUGAAGGCCUUCGGGUCGUAAAGUUCUGUUGUUAGGGAAGAACAAGUACCAGAGUAACUGCUGGUACCUUGACGGUACCUAACCAGAAAGCCACGGCUAACUACGUGCCAGCAGCCGCGGUAAUACGUAGGUGGCAAGCGUUGUCCGGAAUUAUUGGGCGUAAAGCGCGCGCAGGUGGUUUCUUAAGUCUGAUGUGAAAGCCCACGGCUCAACCGUGGAGGGUCAUUGGAAACUGGGGAACUUGAGUGCAGAAGAGGAAAGUGGAAUUCCAAGUGUAGCGGUGAAAUGCGUAGAGAUUUGGAGGAACACCAGUGGCGAAGGCGACUUUCUGGUCUGUAACUGACACUGAGGCGCGAAAGCGUGGGGAGCGAACAGGAUUAGAUACCCUGGUAGUCCACGCCGUAAACGAUGAGUGCUAAGUGUUAGAGGGUUUCCGCCCUUUAGUGCUGCAGCAAACGCAUUAAGCACUCCGCCUGGGGAGUACGGUCGCAAGACUGAAACUCAAAGGAAUUGACGGGGGCCCGCACAAGCGGUGGAGCAUGUGGUUUAAUUCGAAGCAACGCGAAGAACCUUACCAGGUCUUGACAUCCCACUGCCCGGUAUAGAGAUAUACCUUUCCCUUCGGGGACAGUGGUGACAGGUGGUGCAUGGUUGUCGUCAGCUCGUGUCGUGAGAUGUUGGGUUAAGUCCCGCAACGAGCGCAACCCUUGAUCUUAGUUGCCAGCAUUCAGUUGGGCACUCUAAGAUGACUGCCGGUGACAAACCGGAGGAAGGUGGGGAUGACGUCAAAUCAUCAUGCCCCUUAUGACCUGGGCUACACACGUGCUACAAUGGAUGGUACAAAGGGCUGCGAGACUGCGAAGUUAAGCGAAUCCCAUAAAACCAUUCUCAGUUCGGAUUGCAGGCUGCAACUCGCCUGCAUGAAGCUGGAAUC